rnacentral:misc_RNA from 1 species
GAUGAAGAACGCAGCGAAAUGCGAUAAGUAGUGUGAAUUGCAGAAUUCAGUGAAUCAUCGAAUCUUUGAAUGCACAUUGCGCCCCUUGGUAUCCCGAGGGGCAUGCCUGUUCGAGCGUCAUUUCACCACUCAAGCCUGGCUUGGUGUUGGGCGACGUCCCCUUUGGGGACGCGCCUCGAAACGCUCGGCGGCGUGGCACCGGCUUUAAGCGUAGCAGAAUCUUUCGCUUUGGAAGUCGGGGCCCCGUCUGCCGGAAGACCUACUCGCAAGGUUGACCUCGGAUCAGGCAGGGACACCCGCUGAACUUAAGCAUAUCAAUAAGCGGAGGA